rnacentral:rRNA from 1 species
GUAGGUGGCAAGCGUUGUCCGGAAUUAUUGGGCGUAAAGCGCGCGCAGGUGGUUCUUUAAGUCUGAUGUGAAAGCCCCCGGCUCAACCGAGAGGGUCAUUGGAAACUGGGGAACUUGAGUGCAGGAGAGGAAAGUGGAAUUCCACGUGUAGCGGUGAAAUGCGUAGAUAUGUGGAGGAACACCAGUGGCGAAGGCGACUUUCUGGCCUGUAACUGACACUGAGGCGCGAAAGCGUGGGGAGCAAACAGGGAUUAGAUACCCUGGUAGUCCACGCCGUAAACGAUGAGUGCUAAUGUUGGGGGGGUUUCCGCCCCCUCAGUGCUGCAGCUAACGCAUUAAGCACUCCGCCUGGGAUACGGUCGCAAGACUG